GUCUGGGUGGCUCAGUCGGUUGAGCGUCUGACUUCGGCUCAGGUCAUGACCUCACAGUUUGUGAGUUCGAGCCCCGCAUCAGGCU
rnacentral:tRNA from 1 species